rnacentral:rRNA from 1 species
GUAGGUGGCAAGCGUUGUCCGGAAUUAUUGGGCGUAAAGCGCGCGCAGGCGGUCCUUUAAGUCUGAUGUGAAAGCCCACGGCUCAACCGUGGAGGGUCAUUGGAAACUGGGGGACUUGAGUACAGAAGAGGAAAGCGGAAUUCCAAGUGUAGCGGUGAAAUGCGUAGAGAUUUGGAGGAACACCAGUGGCGAAGGCGGCUUUCUGGUCUGUAACUGACGCUGAGGCGCGAAAGCGUGGGGAGCAAACAGGAUUAGAUACCCUGGUAGUCCACGCCGUAAACGAUGAGUGCUAAGUGUUAGGGGGUUUCCGCCCCUUAGUGCUGCAGUUAACGCAUUAAGCACUCCGCCUGGGGAGUACGGCCGCAAGGCUG